rnacentral:lncRNA from 1 species
UGCGAGUAAAUCCAUCAUAAAUUUGAUUAAUCUAGCGAUGUAUUUCGUGUGACUUAAAUUUUAAACGGAGAAUUCGGUUUAUGGCAAUGAUGAUAACGCGUGUAGGACUGUAUAUAAACAGAUUAUUAUAAAAUAUAGACUUUGUUUCCGUUUCGUGAAGUGAAUUGUCAUCCGACACGAUAUGAACACGCACACUCAUACACGUAAAAGGAAAGUUUGUUUACAACAACGAAUUAAAGGCAUUAAUAAUAAUAAUAAUAAUCGGAGAAUAGAUGCUUGCCCGAGGUGUCGUGCAGUGAUUUCAUCUGCAUCAAAUUUGUAUGUAAAAUGUAAAAUGGCGCUUCUCAUUUUUGUCAAAAUGUACACGAAGAGUGGUUUUCGUUUAGAGAACUUCCAGCGCUUCCCAACACAGUUACUAUGGCAACCGCCGGUCGUUCACCUCUGGGAAGGGAAGGAUUAGAAGUCGAAUCAAUCCUGGAAUAUUCCGAAUCGUAACAGUUCGAACGUUUUCGGAAGAGAAAGAACAAUCUUUCACGUUCGGGUUCCUUUCCGUUUGGAAGGUUAACAGUUGUCCAAUCGAUGCUCUCUACCAGUUAGUCGUGUUGCCACUUGAGAAUCAAUAAAAACGACUGGAAGUAAAACGAAUUAGAUCCUGUUACCCAAACUUGCACUGGCUGCAACCAUCCCUUGUCACAUUUCUCUUCCAUAAUCUGCACAAGUUUCUUUUUUUAUUUUUAUAUUCUUCGAGUUGACUCGACGAAAACUAGCCGAAUUGAUAUCAAAAC